AAGGGAGACCUAAUUCCGGUAGGAGACGAAAAAAAAGUAGUCCCUACCAAGAAUCAAUCCCAAAAGGUCGAAGCGAGGCAAGAUUGGCUUUCAAACUAGGUUCUGGGUUCAAACAAGACCUGAAUCAGGAACAAGGGCUAUUAGCUCAGGUGGUUAGAGCGCACCCCUGAUAAGGGUGAGGUCCCUGGUUCGAGUCCAGGAUGGCCCACCUGCACAGGUGGCAAAGACAAAGAAGCGAGGAAUCAGCACCUUAUCUUACUCAUAUAGUAAGAGAGAAUGCUGGCUCUGAGUAAAGAGUCCAGAGGAACCUUGAAAACUGCAUAGAGCUAGGUGAAAAAGCCAAAAAAGAAGACCGCAA
rnacentral:tRNA from 1 species